rnacentral:rRNA from 1 species
CCUACGGGAGGCAGCAGUGGGGAAUAUUGGGCAAUGGGCGCAAGCCUGAACCAGCAACGCCGCGUGAAGGAAGACGGCUCUCGGGUUGUAAACCUCUUUUGUCAGGGACGUAGCAAGUGACGGUACUUGACGAAUAAGCCACGGCUAACUACGUGCCAGCAGCCGCGGUAAUACGUAGGAGGCAAGCGUUAUACGGAUUGACUGGGUGUAAAGGGUGUGUAGGCGGGACUGCAAGUCAGAUGUGAAAACCACGUGAUCAACCUGUGGCCUGCAUUUGAAACUGUAGUUCUUGAGUACAGGAGAGGCAGACGGAAUUCGUGGUGUAGCGGUGAAAUGCGUAGAUAUUAGGAAGAACACCGAUGGCGAAGGCAGUCUGCUGGACUGCAACUGACGCUGAGGCGCGAAAGCGUGGGGAGCAAACAGGAUUAGAUACCCCAGUAGUC